rnacentral:rRNA from 1 species
UACGUAGGGGGCAAGCGUUGUCCGGAUUUAUUGGCGUAAAGAGCGUGUAGGCGGCUAGAUAGGUCCGUUGUGAAAACUGGAGGCUCAACCUCCAGCUGUCGAUGGAAACCAUCUAGCUAGAGUCCGGAAGAGGAGAGUGGAAUUCCUGGUGUAGCGGUGAAAUGCGCAGAUAUCAGGAAGAACACCCGUGGCGAAGGCGGCAUCCUGGACCAAUUCUGACACUGAGGAGCGAAAGCCAGGGGAGCAAACGGG